UUGUUUUUUUUUUUUCUACCACCCAGGAAAGAAAUAGUGAGUGAAUUAUUAUUGCUCUGAUCCUCUAUAGACGUUUGCAGGUGGUAAUCAGGGAUGCUGCUUAGGAAGUGUAACCUAAAAUAAUCUUGUUGCAGUGCAACUCAAUUAAAACUAUUUAGACUAAGAUUUUACAAAAAUUUUGCUGUUUGUUUCUUGUUUGCAAAAGGAAUUUGGGCCCAUUUCUGUGCAGCCUUUGUGCACUGUGUGCCUGUAAAUAGUAAAAGUUAAGAAGAAACAUGUAUUUUAAAUGGCUCUUGAAAGGUAACCAUUUAAGAAAGCAAUCAAUAAACUAAAUAUAGCCAGAUGCUGAACAUCUCACUGGAGACUGAAAACGCUAAUAAUUAUGGGAGAUUCAAGGAUCCCUACAGUAUUUGUAUGAAAUAAUAAUAGAGUUCAAACUUAUUUCCGCUGACCUUAGUGUUGCUCAUUAAAGGUUUUAGCAGAGACCUGGAUACAGUCGCGUUUGAGCGAGGUGUUUGGAAUUAAAAUACAGAUAAAAGGAAAAAGGUUAAUCCAGGUCAAGGGAACAGACCAAAACUGGGAUUGCAUAAGAUUAUAGUAUCUUUCCCCAUUUCUCCAAUGGUCAACAUCAGUUGGUUUUAAGUAACACUCUUCUCUGCAAAAUCUCCUAAAUGGGAGGCUAAACAUAGUAUUAACUGUCCAUUCUUUGGCUUUGUCAGUAUCCUUAAUUGCUAUACAAUCAUUUUUGACCUCUAAGAGAAUUUUGCUUGCCUGAACCCAGAAAUGUGCUAAACGUCACCUCCAGGGGACUCAGGUAUGUAACAAGGCAGCCCCUACUGCUUAUUCUGUGCUUUAAUCCUAAUAGUUCUUUUCUCCUUUCUCAAACUUAAUAAUGUUCAUCACUUGUAGGAAGUGAGUACAUCAAAAAGCUAUGAGCUCAGUUUUGUAAUAGCAAAUGAACCAUGACCCCAGAACUGAACACUACCAACUGCUGAGGAAGUUGGAAUUGAAUCUGGUCUGCCUUGCGGCUGGAUGUAAUAAUAAAACAAAACUAAGGUCUUCGUCCAGCCAGUGGCUCCCUACUCUUCUGCAUCCCAUGUAACAUUUCCUCAAAAUGUAAAUUCAGAGCUUUGUGGUUGAGGAUGCUGCUGUAUUAAAGGGCAGUAGUGAGUAAUCAGGAGCAUGUGGUUCUCUUCCUCACUUCAGUGCUCAUGGGGGAGCAUCAGAAAAACACUCAACAGGUCCUUGCACAUUGCUACUUGGGGGAGGGAAAAAAAAAAAAAAAAAGAGAGACCAAAAGAGAGACAGAGAAAGGAACAUAAAAAUUCUUACCUAUAUCCUAUUAGUUCUUACUGUGACAUGGUUUUUCAUCGCUGGAAGAGAUUCCCAUAGAAGGGCUAUUCUAAUAAACAAAUCUAACAUUGAAUUAGUGGAUUUGGAAUCAAGCCGACAGAUUUACAUUUCUUGCUGCUUCAGAACCAGAUUGAGACCCAGCUCAAGUGGGCAUUGCUUUAACAUUGUUAAUGUUGACUCAUUUUAUAUCUGAAUCUAUCCCCACUCUCACAUUAUUAUACACACAGGGUGGCUACUGUGCAUCCUAACUCACUCCAUGUUUUAUUUGAAUGAUAUUAACUAAUCUUGGUAAAACACAGCCCUUUGUCUCGAGCCUAUUCACUGUAGUUUCCAAUUCAAACCAGUGAAACUGUGCUAACCUUUUGUGAAUUCACCCUCUGUUUAUGUGUGUAAUGCUAAGCAGACCCAGAUCUAAGAUUUUAGAAAUGCUUUACAGAAGUACUGAAGCUCUACAUCAGGAGGCUUCAACAAGCAAAACACAGGUAUGUUUGCCUCGGUGUAUAUUUUAGGAUAAGGAGAGCAUUAGAAGCAUUCAAAUGUAUCAGUGCAAGGUCUUCUGAUCUACGGUAACACAAAGCAUGCAGUGUGAAGUCUGGUUCAAGAGCCUGUUCAGUUCCAGGUUUGAAGCAGACCUGUAGCAUGUGAGCUGGGUUAUGCGAGUAUGUUGUAUGCCACCCAGCUUGCUAUGAGCAAAGGAGGCAAGGGUGGCUGGGUUCUUUAAACAGUUAGAUCUAACAAACGACACAUUUGGAAGUCUUAGGAAAGAAUGUGUGCUAGAGCGCACUAAUUCUGGCAAACAACAGAGGAGAAACGGAUACAGCCCAAAGUUGGCAGAUCUUCCCUUGGAAUGCACAGGGGGGAAAAAAAAAAAAAAGAAGCUAAGAAUAAAAAGUCUAGGUGUUAUUCUUUCCACAUGUGUUUAUAGAAAAGGGAUAGAUUUCAUGUUUCACCUUUUUCCAGUUUAAUGUGCUUUUUUUUUUUUUUUCUUUUGGUUUGUUUUUUGCUACUUCUCUCACCAUCCAUUGUUCUAUUACAGGUCAUUCAGCCUUAUAUUUGAUGGCUUUGUGACCUAGGCCUCUGUUUCCCAUCUGCAAAAACAAAGGGUCAUAUUUAGUCCGCUACUAAGCAUUCACAUUUAUCCCGCAUGCUAUGCAUAGAUAACAAGCAUCCACAGUCUGCUUCUUCAAAAACAUGAAAGCCAAACAAAUGCCUGGAAGGACAGGAAACAUCUUAAAUGAGAAUGGCUGGCAGGUUUCAAAUCUCCUCAUCAUAAAAAUAAGAAUGGAAUAGGGAGUUUAUUUAUUCUGCAAAUGCUCUAGAAGAGGGAAAGAAGAAACAAUGGUUAAAGGCAUUGGUUCAUUAUAACAGGACUUCCUGAAGACAAAUCUAAAUCAUCUCUCAUAUGACAUAAAAUCUUGUAAGCUCUUCUUUAUAGACCUCUCUUUCUAUCAUUUCCAUAUGGGAAACUACCACUGGCCAAUGGAUACAUCAGAGGAAUAUCACAAAGUUGAAUCUGGAGUUCAGAGAAGCUACGCUCUUUCCAAGGGUACAGAUUCUCACUCUUACCUCAGCCUUUGGAUGAAUGUGUUCCAGGCUGCAUCUUUGGAUUCACCCCAGUAACUCUGGAUAUCUGGAUAACUGAUAUCUCCUUACCAUAUACUAUCUUACUGAGUGACCACAUAGCCCCAUUGAACCGCACAGGUUUACGUAGGAAGACCAGUUGCCUUCAUCACCAUGGUUAAGAAGCAAUGACGAUCGACAAUUUCUCAAAUAGGAACUUUAGAUAUUCCCAGAAAUAUAAAACAUAAUUUAUUAUUUUUUCUUCCUAUCAGGUGAGAGGGAUGCAGCACUGAAUUGCUUCAGUAUUUCAGAUGUUAGAUGAAAGUGGCAUCCAUCUACUGGUACUCACAGCUGUGGCACGUUUUUCUUUAAAUGUAAAAGUGCUCAAGCUGCUUCAGCAGGAAGCCUCAACAUGUGGGAUUGCCCCCAGAGCAUCACCUAACUCCAAACCUGUAGGCCUGUUGUGUGCAGCCUUCAGCUGAGGGCAGUGAGGUUUUUGCCUUUAUGAAGACUGCAGAACCUGCUCACAUGCCCUGUCUCUGGUUCCUGGAUUACCAUUGCAACUUUUGCAUUUGAAGCUUAGCCUGAGUGCCAGAAAGACUGCCCAGAGGCAGCAGAAAGAUCACGAUGAAGGUGGAGACAUCUCAGGUGAGUUCACUGAUGGCCUUGUGCUACAAACUCUUUCCUCUCUUGUUUUCUCCUACAUUUUUCCCAAGUGAUAAACAUGUCUGUUUUUGACACCUAGCAAGUCAAAAUGUACAAAUUCAGGUUGCAAAACUAGGUGAUGGACUUCUGUGAAGUUGCAUAACAAGGUACUAUUAAAAACCUCAGCCUGAA